UGAAUAAGAUUAAUUAAAUUCUAAAAAAUAAGAUUAAUUAAAUUCUAAAAAUAAUUUUAAUUAUGGUAUUAAUUAAUUAAUUAAUUAAUAUAUUUAAAUUAUUAUUUAAUGCUUAAAUAAUAAAAUUUUAUUAAUUUAUUAUUAUUAUUAUUACUUAUUAAUGUAUAAUUAAUAUAUUAUUAAUUUAUUUAUUAAUCUUAAUUAAUUUAUUUAUUAUUAAUUAAUUAUUUAAUUUGCUAUUAAUUAAUUAUAAUUAUAAUUAUUUAAUAUAUUUAAUUAUUAUUUAUAAUCAUAUAUAACUAUUUAAUUAAUUGAUUUAAUACUAAUUAUGUAGUAU
rnacentral:lncRNA from 1 species